rnacentral:tRNA from 2 species
GUUGCGGUGGCCGAGUGGUUAAGGCGUUGGACUAGAAAUCAAUGGGAUCUUCCCGCGCAGGUUCGAAUCCUGCCCGCAACG